rnacentral:rRNA from 1 species
CCUACGGGUGGCAGCAGUGAGGAAUAUUGGACAAUGGCCGGAAGGCUGAACCAGCGAAGUCGCGUGAGGGAAGAAUGCCCUAUGGGUUGUAAACCUCGUUUAUAAGGGAAGAAAAAAUGCUACGUGUAGCAUGAUGCCUGUACCUUAUGAAUAAGCAUCGGCUAACACCGUGCCAGCAGCCGCGGUAAUACGGAGGAUGCGAGCGUUAUCCGGAUGUAGUGGGUUUAAAGGGUGCGUAGGCGGUUUUUUAAGUUAGUGGUAAAACGUCGGGGCUGCACCUUGGUUUGCCAUUGAUACUGUAAGGCUCGAGUUCAGGAGAGGUAGGCGGAAUCAGUUGAGUAGCGGUGAAAUGCUUAGAUAUCACGUAGAACUCCGAUGGCGAAGGCAGCUUACCAGACUGCGACUGACGCUGAGGCACGAGAGCGUGGGUAGCGAACAGGAUUAGAUACCCGUGUAGUC